AACCGUGGCGCGUGCUUACCAUGCAAGUCGAACGAUGACCACCGGGCUUGCCUGGUCUGAUUAGUGGCGAACGGGUGAGUAACACGUGAGUAACCUGCCCCUCACUUCGGGAUAACCUCGGGAAAUCGGGGCUAAUACCGGAUAUUAACUUCCUUCGCCUGGGGAUUGUUGGAAAGUUUUUCUUUGAGGGAUGGACUCACGGCCUAUCACUUUGUUGGUGAGGUGAUGGGCCCCCACAACGAUGCCAGGUAGCCCGGCCCUGAGGGGCUGACAGGACACUGUGACUGCGACUCGGCCCGGACUCCGAUGGGAGGCGGAAGUGGGGUAUGUAGCACAAUG
rnacentral:rRNA from 1 species